UCUAAUGUGGCAGAUUAGUGCGAUGGUCUUAAACUCCAUAAAUAAAGUAAUAACCUUUCUUUAGAA
rnacentral:tRNA from 1 species